GUCGAACGAGAAAGCGGGGGCGACCCCGUGAGUAGAGUGGCGUACGGGUGAGUAACACGUGGGUGAUCUACCCUUGAGUGGGGAAUAACCCUGGGAAACCGGGGCUAAUACCGCAUAAUCCCGGGAGGGGAAAGUCGCAAGACGCUGAAGGAGGAGCCCGCGGCCGAUUAGCUAGUUGGUGGGGUAACGGCCCACCAAGGCGGAUGAUCGGUAGCCGGCCUGAGAGGGCACACGGCCACACUGGCACUGAAACACGGGCCAAGAUCCUACGGGAGGCAGCUCUAUCUGNCCAAGAACUCGAGC
rnacentral:sRNA from 1 species